rnacentral:rRNA from 1 species
GGAAUAUUGGACAAUGGGCGAAAGCCUGAUCCAGCAAUGCCGCGUGAGUGAUGAAGGCCUUAGGGUUGUAAAGCUCUUUUGCCCGGGAUGAUAAUGACAGUACCGGGAGAAUAAGCCCCGGCUAACUCCGUGCCAGCAGCCGCGGUAAUACGGAGGGGGCUAGCGUUAUUCGGAAUUAUUGGGCGUAAAGCGCGCGUAGGCGGCCAGGUAAGUCAUGGGUGAAAUCCCUCGGCUCAACCGAGGAAUUGCCUUUGAAACUACCUGGCUCGAGGCCGGGAGGGGGUAGCGGAAUUCCCAGUGUAGCGGUGAAAUGCGUAGAUAUUGGGAGGAACACCGGUGGCGAAGGCGGCUACCUGGACCGGUUCUGACGCUGAUGCGCGAAAGCGUGGGGAGCAAAC